AUACGGAGGAUGCGAGCGUUAUCCGGAUUUAUUGGGUUUAAAGGGUGCGUAGGCUGUGCGUUAAGUCAGGGGUGAAAUGCCGUCGCUCAACGACGGAGCUGCCCUUGAUACUGGCGUGCUGGAGUACGGAUGCCGUUGGAGGAAUGAGGGGUGUAGCGGUGAAAUGCUUAGAUAUCACUCAGAACACCGAUUGCGAAGGCAUCGGACGAAUCCGUAACUGGCGUUGAUGCACGAAAGCUUGGGGAUAGAACAGGAUUAGAUGCCCUGGUAUUCCACGCGGUAAACGAUGAUGACUAACCGUCGGCGAUAGACAGCCGGUGGCCAAGCGAAAGCGAUAAGUAAUCCACCUGGGGAGUACGUCGGCAACGAUGAAACUCUAAUGAAUUGACGGGG
rnacentral:rRNA from 1 species